rnacentral:lncRNA from 1 species
ACUUAAAAUCAGUAGACUGAAUUCAUUACAUUUAAUAUUAUAGUUACUGUAAUAACUAAUCAAAUGUUUUGUUAUAUGUACAUAGGUUAAGUAAAAUCUCUCCAAGCAAACAAUUCUUAAAGGAAAUGGUAGAUGAUGUAACUAUUAAAAUGAAACAAAAUGAUUUCCACAAUAAUGAUAAGAUGAGGAAUGAUUCAAUGCUGAAAGGCAUAGAAAAACCAUUCAAUUAUUUUUACUUGCAAAAGAAAAUCACUAACAUGAAUGAGCUGCACUAGUGUGCCAUAUUGGUCUUUUUUUUCACUUUGUUGCUGGACUUUGUUUAGCCAUAACAUACUGAAUGGUAGCCAAUCACCAGAUUUUAAACGCAAAAUAUGCUUCAACUGUGCCCAAGACAAGAAGGAAGAACGAGAAAGAAGUGGUGCUGACAGCAAUGGACUCUAUAGGUUGGUGGCCAUGAUUGACUCUUGCCAUCAUCUUCAUGUGGCUUGAAGUUUUUCAUGGCCUUUGCCCCUGUGUGGCACUGCUUUUAACUUGGAGCAAUUUUUGUAACCUGUCAAAACAUUUGUCUCUGUUCAUCAAUACCUGAGAGAAAGCACUUUUAAAGAUUUUGCAAAUCCCAAUUUGGGAACUUAUAUGGUGUCAAACAUAGCACACUGGUAUUGGCAAAAAGAGUUCUUAGUUUUGAUAUUUCAUAAAUAUUGCUGAAACUUCAAUCCAUACUUCUAGUUAAUGAUGCAGGACUUGAGAAUGUCUUCACAUAUUAAAUUCUCAUUAAUAAAAGGUCUAUAUUUCUGCAAAAUCUGAUUUUGCAUUGCAACUCUUUAUGUUCUACUAUGAACUGCCAGAAUUUAAGUAUUGUUGAGCCACAACGUGUGGAAACCAUAGAAGCCAAUGAAACUGAAUGACAAUCGGUAUGGAGAAUCGCUAUUCCAGUUCUGACACUGGGUAAGAUAAAACUGAAUGAUAAUCAGUAUGGACAAUUGCUAUUCAGUUCUGACACUGAACAAGAUAAAACUGAAUGACUCAGUAUGGAGAAGCACUAUUUGAGCUCUGACACUGGACAAGAUAAAACUGAGCGACAAUCAGUAUGGACAGCAAUUACUAUUUCAGUUCUGCUGCUGGACAAGAUAACACGGAAUGGCAAUCAGUAUGGAGAUUUACUAUUUCAGUUCUGCCACUGGACAAGAUUAAACUGAAUGACUAAGUAUGGAGAAUUACUUACAGUUCUGACACUCACUGGACAAGAUAAAAACACUCAGUCACUAUGGAGAAUCAACUCUUCAGUUGUAACAGUGGACAAAAUAAAGCUGAAUAAAAAUCAUUAUGGAGAAUUACUAUGUCAGUUCUGACACUGGACAAGAUAAAGCUAAAUGGCAAACAGCAUGGACAAUUGCUAUUUCACUUCUGACACUGGACAAGAUCAAACUGAAUGACAAUCAGUAUGGAGAAUUACUAUUUCAAUUCUGACACUGGACAAGUUAAAGCUAAAUGGCAAGCAGCAUUGACAAUAUUAUUGCUAUUUCAGUUCUUACACUGGACAAGAUCAAACUGAAUGACAAUCGGUAUGGAGAAUUAUUACUUCAGUUGUGACACUGGACAAGAUCAAACUGAAUGACAAUCAGUAUGGAGAAUUACUAUUUUAGUUCUGACACAAGACAAGAUGGAACUGAGUGACAAUCACUCUGGAGAAUUACUAUUUCAGUUUGGGUACUGGACAAGAUAAAGUUGAAUGAUAAUCAUCAUGGGGAAUUACUACAUCAGUCAUGACACUAAACAAGAAAAAAAGGAAUGACAAGCAGUAUGGAGGAUUACUGCCUCAGUUCUAACACCAAACAAGGUAGGGCGAGGAAUAGUCAAGAAAGUGAACAGUGACAAAGCACUGCAGCAAAAUUCUGGCUACAAGACAAGUGCAGAAUCAUUUCUGAAUUUACUAUUUCACUCCUGACACUGGACAAGGCAGGAUGAGCAAUAGUCAAGAAAGUGAAAUAUGACGGAGCACCACAGCAAAGAUCUGGCUCCAAGACAAGUGCAGGAACACUUAAGAAUAAAUGCUUUGAACUAAGCAGUAAAACUUGAAGAAAAAAAUUCAUUUUAAUGUACAUCUUUCAAUCCUGACAUGGUCAUGUAGAUAUGUCUAUAUUAAUAUCAUGUUUGAGAACUGAAUGGCAAGGAGAUUUUCGCAGUAAACGAAAGUAAACUUCACUGAUGUAAAGAAGGCGCUAAGAGCAAAUUAAAGACUACACUCCAAUAAGCUCUUAAAACCUUCCUAUAAUAAAUAACAACCAGAAACGUAAACAUGGAAAAACAAGUGAGCCGCAAAACCUUAAUGUGGUUGAACUUGUGUCGUUGUCCUUUACUUCUCUAUAUAAAUUUGGAUUACUCCUAUCAACAUUCCCCUCUCCCAAAGCUGCCAGUAAUGCCGAGAUGGUUAAUCCCAUAGUGAGUAAAGGCUUACAUUCAAUAUCCUGCUCUGUCCUAAAGAAGAAAAUUGAGAGAGUUUAACACCCCUCCACAAUCCUGUUUUCUUCUAGAGGGAAUUGUGGAAUGGAGUUAAAAUCUCAUAAACAAUUUUCCUUCUUUCCUGAGAACAUCAAGCCUGGUGGUUUGCCUCCAAUUUAAAAUCCUCUACUUUCCUCCGAGCAAAGAUCAUUCAAAGAGCUGUAAUUUCUGUCCCCAACCCCCAUGAACCUCACCUGAAUGAAUAAUUGUCAAUGAAAUCCACAUUCCUCUACUUCCCCAGGGUAAAGAUUUAAAGAGUAAGUUUAACUAUAACCAACAAUCCUUCAAUCAUCCUUUUUCAGAGCACCUUCCUGCCAAACUAAUUUCCUCCACAUUGGUAUAAGAGACUACUCAAAUACUAAAGGGUUUACGAUCCUCCGAUUAGAGUGGUUUUACUUAACCUGUGAAAUAGAUAGUGGAAUUGUACACGCCACAACUUCGUAUUAGUUCCUACUAUCCCCCUGUAGUUAGUAUUUCUUUUGUUUUCUACCCUUUGGUUUCCUAUACCACCCACUAAUACUAACUGGCAGAAAAUAUUACACACUAACGAGUAGUUUCCGUUUCACAGAAUGACAAAAAUCACUC